CAGAAUCUCACUCGUUCUCCUCAGCACAAUCACAGACACAAAACAAAACAGAGUUUAAUGGGGACGAAAGAGAAUGUCUUUGACGAUGGGAGGAAACCGGGUCUGCUCAACAAUCUCUACCAAGUCACCAUGGAUUAUGCUUACUGGAAAGCCGGCAAACAAUCCGAAAGAUCCGUGUUUGAUUUGUAUUUUCGUAAGAACCCAUCUGGUGUAGAGUACACUAUCUUUGCUGAGUUGGAAGAAUGCAUCAAAGUUCCUCGCUAACUUCACUUCGACCAAUGAAGAGAUCGAUUUCGUUCGUGAUUCAUUGCCUGGAUGUGAGGAAUCUUUCUGUGAUUAUCUUAGAGGGGUUGAUUGUUCCGACAUUGAAGUGUAGGCUAUCUCAUAAGGAUCUGUUGUGUUCCCUAAAGUGCCUUUACUCAGGAUCGAAGGUCAUGGUGCUGUUGUGCAAUUGUUGAAAACUACUCCCUUUCUCAAUCUCAACAAUUACGGAUCUUUGGUUGCUACUAACGCAGCAAGGCAUCGGUGUGUUGCUGGAUAAUCUAAGCUUCUACUCGAGUUUGGUGAUCGAAGAGCUCAAGUCAAAGCUCGGAAUUCAAAUUUGAGAACAGGCAAGUUAAGCCUUGGAAGGGGAGAGGAUUCAUGACGCGGCUAUGGAGGAUCUUGAACUCACAGUUGGAAACGCUAAAGGUCGUUAGUUGAUAUAUGAAGAACAAAAGGACCCGUUGUGGCAUGUCGGAAGCAAAAAGGUUGGAGUGUUAGCGUGUUAUUCAGUUCAUGGUUUUGGUUCUUGUAAUAGAAUCGAUAUUCAUUGUACUAUUGAGUUUGUUUCACAUUGCAAUAUUUUGUAGAUAGACUG